rnacentral:rRNA from 1 species
AUUGAACGCUGGCGGCAGGCCUUACACAUGCAAGUCGAACGAGUGGCGGACGGGUGAGUAAUGUCUGGGCAACUGCCUGAUGGAUGGGGAUAACUACUGGAAACGGUAGCUACUACCGCAUACCAUCAGAUGUGCCCAGAUGGGAUUAGCUAGUUGGUGGGGUAACGGCUCACCAAGGCGACGAUCCCUAGCUGGUCUGAGAGGAUGACCAGCCACACGGGAACGGAGACACGGUCCAGAUUCCUACGGGAGGCAGCAGUGGGGAAUAUUGCACAAUGGGCGAAAGCAUGAUGCAGCCAUGCCGCGUGUAUGAAGAAGGCCUUCGGGUUGUAAAGUACUUUCAGCAGGGAGGCGUUACCCGCAGAAGAAGCACCGGCUAACUCCGUGCCAGCCGCCGCGGUAAUUC